UCCUCACGUCGCCUCUUUCUCUCAAUCCUCUCUAAACCCUUAUCCUCACGUCGCCUCUCUCUCAAUCCUCUCUAAACAUUGAAUCUCACAUUCAAAUCUCACAGAUUCACUGAUUUUGAAGCUCUACCUCCACCACCAUCUGCACCGGCGAGGUAGCGAGAUUCACCGAUUUCAUAAAUUCACCGAUUCAAAUCUUACAGAUUCACUGAUUUCAGAUCGAUCUGCACCGCCACCGCGAUUUCGAUUCAGAUCGGUCUGCACUGCCACCCCGAUUUUGAUUCUCUCUCUAGAUCUCUCUCUCAGAGAUUCAUCUUUGAUUUCAUCUCAUAGUGAUUUUGAUCUCUCUCUCUCUCUCUCUCUCUCUCUCUCUCUCUCGAUUUCAAAGCUCCACCGCCACCACCAUCUAUGCAAGCUUCCAUGGCUUAGCACCUCAUCUUCUUAUCUCUUCCACUUUGUAUAUACAUAUACACAUAUGUAUAUUUAUCGAUUCUCUCAUGUACAUACACGUAUCUGUAUAGACACUGAUCGAUAAUGGAGCAGAGCUUCUUCAAUUUGAUCUAUUUUCUGCACUGCCCAGGCCUCGCUGAGACAUUCCUCGACGUUUUACUCUCCUCAGUCUCGAUUUGGCUCGCUGUCAUGAUCGGCCUUGUUAUCGGUUGGUCCUGGCGCCCUAUGUGGACCGCUUUCCAGAUACAAAAUCUUUAGUGAAAGAUCUACAUCUCACUGGAUUCAAAGCAAUCUGGAUCCUUUCUUUAUUUGUUAAUUGACAGCUACCAACAAACGAAGGAAAAAUAAGUUCAAGGUCUUCCUGAAAGAACUUUUUGUGGUAUGGGGACUGGUGUUUAUAAUACUUACCAUUGAUUUUCAGUGAUUUUUGUUUUAAGUUUUAGCAAAAACCUUGACAUAGAGGAUCAAAUGUGAUGGCACAAACAUGAAUAUCCUCAUAAAUCAGCCUUCAAGUUAUUAUUAGUUACACAUGAGAUAUAUCAUUUAUUUGGUACAUAUGUGUAAUGGAAUUAUAUUUGGUAAUCUUCUGAACUAUGUGAAAUGAUACUCAUGGUUCCUCUGCUUGAAUUAGGUUAGGGCUGCUUGUAAGUCCUUGCCCUUGACAUUGUACCUUUACUUUUGUUAAGUUUUGACCCUGAACUAUUUAAAUAGCUAUUAAACUUCUUUGAUUGUUCUAUUCUUACUGUUAUAUAAGAGAAGGAACAGUCUGCUCUUCGUGCACAGAGCAGCUCUAUUAGAAGCAGCAAAAGCCAGGCUAAGAUUGCUGAAGAAAGCGUGCCCAAGACUGUGAAGUUCCAACCCUUCAUCAAAGAAGAAGCCUUAGUUAGCAUACACAAUGAUGUUUUCCUAAGUACAGCAGAGCAAUUCUUUGACCUAUUGUUGAAUGAUGACUCAAAUUUUAUAAAUGAGUAUCGUUCAGUCCGAAAGGACACUAACCUUACUAUUGGUCCAUGGCAUGAUGCUGAUGAAUAUGAUGGCUAAGUCAGAGAGACAAAAUUGACGGCCCUGUGUAACAGUCCUAUGUGCCCUCCAGAUACAGCAAUGAUAGAGUGGCAGCAUGCUGUUUUGUCACCAGAUAAGAAACAGCUGGUGAUUGAGACUGUACAACAGGCGCAUGAUGUACCAUUUGGGUAUUACUUUGAGGCAUCUCAAGCAUUGUUGGAGUGGCUUAUGAAAAAGCAAAAAGCUUUUGACCGGCAGGGUGAUAUGGUUGUUGCAGCUUGGGCUGAGCAGCAGCAGCAUGAAAUGAAUCUCCGUGUGCAC